GCGCAAAUGGUUUAGUGGUAAAAUCCAUCGUUGCCAUCAAAAUCUCCUCUGCGAGACUUCGAUAUUCGAUGGGCCCCCGGUUCGAUUCCGGGUUUGCGCA